CUGACAUGGAAGCUCUCCCAGACUCAGAGAUUCAGCUUUCUCCAUCCCUGCUGCCCUGUCCAUCACUCCUCCAUAUCUCCUUCUUGGGAAUUAUGUUGUGGCUGUGAUUACAUCUAAGAUAUUGCCAGAGGGAGCUGCUAACAGAAGUGAAUGAGGCUUUGUGAGAGCAAAAGGCAAUGCAGGAUGGGAAUUCUCUUAAUCCACUCUCCUCCCGGCCAUUGUAAACCAUCCUCCAUCUCCUGGUCUGUACACCUGAUGCAAUCAGCUCUUCUCCCACUCUUGCUUCCUGACCCAAUCCACAAGACCAGGACAUCGCAGCUUGUGCAAGCAGUGAAACUACUGCAACUUGGUCACCUUUGUGUUCGCGCAGCUGGGAGAGAGAGCAGUUGGUUUUCAAUUUGAAAUAUCCUCCGAGUCUGAACAUUCAAGACAUAAUGGACUUGCCUGUCGGGCUGUAGGGGGCAUCAUCAGAACUUUUUCUUUUCUUUGAUCGUGAUUUGAACACUGGAUUAUCUUCGUCGGAUUCCAAAGAUGGGUAAACUAAACCAGGAACAAAAAAUAGCUUUUAUUGCAGCAGUAUUAAACAAGAGUUUGAGGCAA